rnacentral:rRNA from 1 species
GUCGAGGGGCAGCAUGAACUUAGCUUGCUAAGUUUGAUGGCGACCGGCGCACGGGUGAGUAACACGUAUCCAACCUGCCGAUGACUCGGGGAUAGCCUUUCGAAAGAAAGAUUAAUACCCGAUGGCAUAGUUCUUCCGCAUGGUAGAACUAUUAAAGAAUUUCGGUCAUCGAUGGGGAUGCGUUCCAUUAGGUUGUUGGCGGGGUAACGGCCCACCAAGCCUUCGAUGGAUAGGGGUUCUGAGAGGAAGGUCCCCCACAUUGGAACUGAGACACGGUCCAAACUCCUACGGGAGGCAGCAGUGAGGAAUAUUGGUCAAUGGACGAGAGUCUGAACCAGCCAAGUAGCGUGAAGGAUGACUGCCCUAUGGGUUGUAAACUUCUUUUAUACGGGAAUAAAGUGAGGCACGUGUGCCUUUUUGUAUGUACCGUAUGAAUAAGGAUCGGCUAACUCCGUGCCAGCAGCCGCGGUAAUACGGAGGAUCCGAGCGUUAUCCGGAUUUAUUGGGUUUAAAGGGAGCGUAGGCGGACGCUUAAGUCAGUUGUGAAAGUUUGCGGCUCAACCGUAAAAUUGCAGUUGAUACUGGGUGUCUUGAGUACAGUAGAGGCAGGCGGAAUUCGUGGUGUAGCGGUGAAAUGCUUAGAUAUCACGAAGAACUCCGAUUGCGAAGGCAGCUUGCUGGACUGUAACUGACG